ensembl:snoRNA SNORA73 Small nucleolar RNA SNORA73 family
CCGACGUGGACACCCUGUGAGAUGUCUCAUACGGCUCUGUCUGUGUGGCGUAUGGGAGCGUAGCACAUCAGUGCAGUGACGUACAGUCCCGUUCCACGACGUUGGAUAGCAUGCAUGUCCCCGGCCUUUGGCUGGUGAGGACGGCGUCCUGUAUAUUCCUAGAUCUUCCCAGAGCCCUUUGGGCUAUUACUGGGGAGGUAAACCAUGCAGGGCACAGUG